UAAUUCUUGUUAGUUGUUUAUAAACCUGUUCCUCCUCAACACACCUGGUUCCGGGUGGAUUCGGGAUGUUUACGCAGUCCGCUUUCCUUAUUUGAUUUUUAAUUUUUAAUCAAUCAAUUAAUCAAUCAAUCAAUUCGAGAAAGUUCGCGCGCUUUCGAAUCGCCUUGGCAACCGCGUAUUUUUUUUUUAUUUUGAGCCGGAACUCAACUCCCCGAUCGUCCUCCCUCCCUCUCUCUCUCUCUCUCUCUCUCUCUCUCUCUCUCUCUUUCACUCCCCUUUCCCUCGGUCUCUCCCGCGGUUCAGCGCUCGCUGUCCUCCUCCGCCGGCAUGUGCUCCAACAUCCCCGCACGUCCUUCCCCUGUUGCGUCCACGUGAAGGAAGUGGACUUCGGCAUUUCUCGGUUCUUUUCGUGGCUCGUUCUUGGUUUCGCCCGGAUGUCAAAAUGCCCGUUCGGCGUGGACACGUCGCUCUUCAGAACACCUACUUGGACACCAUCAUCCGCAAAUUCGACGGUCAAAAUCGCAAGUUCCUGAUUGCCAAUGCCCAGAUGAAGAACUGUGGCAUCAUAUACUGCAACGAGGGUUUCUGCCAGAUGUUCGGCUUCUCGCGGGCCGAGAUCAUGCAACAGGCGUGCACGUGUCAUUUCCUGGCAGGACCGGGCACCAUGAAGAGCGCUCUGGCUCAGCUGGCCCAGGCCCUGCUGGGCUCAGAGGAGCGCAAGGUGGAGAUCCUCUACUAUUCCAAAGAAGGGACGUGUCGUCCAUGUUUGAUAGACGUGAUUCCAGUGAAGAACGAGGAAGGCGUGGUCAUCAUGUUCAUCCUGAACUUCGAGGAACUGCUGGAGCCUGCGGUAAAGAUGGGCUUCAGGCAAAGAGUCACCCAGGGCUGGAUACGCUCAGCUCAGAAACGUAAGCUGAGGCUGAGAAUGCCGUCUUUACGAGUCACGCGGCAGCCUGCGUACCCCAAGGACCAGUUCGAAGGCGUCAUUGUGGACUAUCUACAGCCGCCUGAUCAGCACGUGGCUUUGAAAGCGUUCCCUGCGCCGUGUAAAGAGAACUCCCUGCAGUGUGAGACGCAGGCUCUGAUACAUCAGGAGCACUCGUUCGUUCCUUCGUCCAGCUUGGAGCCAGGCGGCCCCCAGGCCCACCACACACACUCGCGUACGCACUCCCGAGAGAGUGUACACAGCCUGCGGCGCGCCUCAUCGCUGCACGACAUCGACGCCAUCAGGGCCCAGUGCAGCGAAUCUCUAAAGCCCAACAACGUGAAUUCCACGUCGGAUUCAGAUCUUAUGCGGCACCGGGCCAUCGGUCGGAUCCCACAGGUCACGCUGUCGUUUGCGGCGGAGCGGGUAAGAGCCCCGUCGCCCACCGAGAUCGAGAUCAUCGCCCCCAGCAAGAUCAAAGAUCGCACGCAGAACGUCUCUGAGAAGGUCACACAGGUCACCCAGGUGUUGUCUCUGGGAGCAGAUGUUUUGCCCGAGUACAAGCUGCAGGCGCCGCGCAUCCACAAGUGGACCAUCCUGCACUACAGCCCAUUCAAGGCCGUAUGGGACUGGCUGAUCCUGCUGCUCGUGCUGUACACCGCCGUGUUCACGCCGUACAGCGCCGCUUUCCUGCUCAGCGAGCACCAGGACGAAGGCCGCAUAGACUGCGGCUACACCUGCAACCCGCUCAAUGUGGUGGACCUUGUGGUGGACGUAAUGUUCAUAAUCGACAUCAUUAUCAACUUUAGAACGACCUAUGUGAACCGCAACGAUGAGGUGGUGAGCCACCCGGGCCGCAUCGCUCAGCACUACUUCAAGGGCUGGUUCCUCAUCGACAUUGUGGCCGCUAUCCCUUUUGACCUGCUCAUCUUCAGAUCGGGCCCUGACGAGCCCCAGACCACCACUCUGAUCGGCUUGUUGAAGACAGCGAGGCUGCUGCGCUUGGUUCGCGUAGCCCGGAAACUGGACCGCUACUCGGAAUAUGGCGCCGCCGUCCUCUUCCUGCUCAUGUGCACUUUCGCUCUCAUCGCCCACUGGCUGGCCUGCAUCUGGUACGCCAUCGGGAACGUGGAGCGCACGGGCUCGAAGCGUGGAGAGGCCCUGAGGAUCGGCUGGCUCGACAACCUCGCCGAGCAGAUCGGCAAACACUACAACGAUAGCGACGCUUUAUCCGGACCCAGCAUCAAGGACAAGUACGUCACCGCUCUGUAUUUCACCUUCAGCAGCCUGACCAGCGUCGGCUUUGGCAACGUCUCCCCAAACACCAACCCGGAGAAGAUCUUCUCCAUCUGUGUCAUGCUCAUCGGCUCUCUGAUGUACGCCAGUAUCUUCGGAAACGUGUCGGCCAUAAUUCAGCGUCUGUACUCGGGGACGGCACGUUACCACACGCAGAUGCUGAGGGUCAAGGAGUUCAUCCGCUUCCACCAGAUUCCUGGAGGCCUGAGGCAGAGGCUGGAGGAGUAUUUUCAACACGCCUGGUCCUACACCAACGGCAUCGACAUGAACGCGGUGCUGAAGGGUUUCCCUGAGUGUCUGCAGGCUGAUAUCUGCCUGCACCUGAACCGCACGCUGCUGCAGAGCUGUAAUGCGUUUUGUGGAGCGAGUAAAGGCUGCCUCCGAGCUCUGGCCAUGCGCUUUAAAACCACACACGCGCCGCCGGGGGACACGCUGGUGCACAGCGGGGACGUCCUCACCGCCCUCUACUUCAUCUCCCGCGGCUCCAUCGAGAUCCUCAGAGACGAUGUGGUUGUCGCCAUUUUGGGUAAGAACGACAUCUUUGGCGAACCCAUCAGCCUGUACGGUCGCCCCGGGAAAUCUAGCGCAGAUGUCCGGGCUCUUACCUACUGCGAUCUGCACAAGAUCCUGCGGGACGAUCUGCUCGAGGUCCUCGACAUGUACCCUGAUUUCUCCGACAGCUUCUGGACCAACCUGGAGAUCACGUUCAACCUCCGAGAUGCAGACAGAAUUCUACAGCCAAACCCUGAUGAGGAGGCAGACUGCAGCUACAGGCGAGAACAGCACAGGAGAAACUCGCUCCAUCGCAAUAGACCAGACGGCACGGAUAGAGAAGACUCUUGCAAAAUUCUCCAGAAAUGCAACUCCGUGGGGAACCACAGGGAGGCGCUCUUACAGUUGCACUGGGACGAGCUGUGCAGCAGCGGGAGCGCCGUCUCUUUGCCCAGUGAGGAUGAGAUGAAACACUCGGGGCCUGGACGGGGAGGGGUGGUGUAUUCUCCAGAUGUGAGGGAGUACGUCCCUACUGUGGUCAACCUUCUACCCACAAGCACAGGAGAACCGGAAGAUCAUCCAUAUUCAGACUCUCUAAAUGUCUCUGGACUGUACGGUUGCUGGUCCGAGCGCAGGCCGAGUCAGUACCCUGAGACCCGGAGACGCUCGUCCCCGUCAACACGCGGCUGCUAUCAUCAUAACCAGCAUGGUGCACAUGACGAGGAGAGACCGAGUGAUCUUCAGUCCCGCCUUGAACUUCUGCAGUCUCAGCUGAACCGACUGGAGACUCGGAUGACGGCUGACAUUAACGUGAUCCUGCAGCUGCUCCAGCGACAGAUGGCCCAAGUGCCACCUGCUUACAGCUCGGUGUCUCCAACCCCGGCGCUCCAUCACAACGCUUCUUCAACCGACCUGUACGAGGCUCCGAUAUUCCCCCCUGGGACACCCACCACUCCUACUGCACACAUCAGAGAACCGACACACACCUCCUCCUCCUCCACCAACAACAGUCCUGAGUCGGACAGCCCUGACCCAGAUUCCCCAUCCAUGUCCCCGAAGACUAACCCCAGUCUCAACGUCCCUCAAUACCUGCAUCCGCAUCUCAGUCUGCGUUUCCUGUCUCUUCCUGAGCACCUGGAGAGCCUGAACAGCCUGGAGGACACAUCACAGACCCAAAGGCACCUGUCUGACCCUGGGCUCCCGGGCAGCUAGAAACCCGGGCGUUUUUCACUUUCUUCUUAUCUCGUCACCUCUGGGCCAUGUGUGUCCAAAAUUAGCUCUACUCAAGGAUAGCUGGGACGGGACCAAGCCACAGUCCUCCUCUUCCUUCUCCUCCUCCUCCUCCUCUUCCUGUUUACUUCUUAGAUCACAUGGAGACUGCGAGCUUCAAACGAGCAGGAAGCUGCUCCAAACGGACCCAGGGUUUAUUUGCAUCGCGUAGCUGAGAUCCAGACACAUCAAACACUGCAUGGGUUUCACGUUGCGAAGGAAGAGUUGGUGAUAUUCAUGCGUAGGGCUGCACCAAUCCGAUGCUGAGUAUUGGGUUCAGGGAAAUAUCUGAUGUGGUAUCAAAAAGUUUCAAAACAUGCCAGCAGAUGGCAGCACAAGGCUGCACGCACAGUCACAUGGAGCACCGACUUUCACAAGUCAAUGCGCUCCAGUGCUAUUCUGACCAUGUGCAUAACCACGUCUGCUAUUCUGACCACGUGUGAACCCUCUCACACACCAGUUUCUCGCCUGAAACAACACAAUCUCACUUCCAACUCGCCAGAUUCGGCUCCUCCGGACUGCACCCUCUCCCCGAAGAUCCAUGAUAAUCCAGUUUGCUGUUUCGACACCAUUGCAGUGAUCCAGCGCGAAUAGCAGAGGGUGCUUCGAAAUGAAGAUGUCCAGGACACAUUCCAGAAGUGGCAGGAACGCUGGGAGCGCUGGAUUGCUGUGCUACGAGACUAUUUUGAAGAUCCCAGGCAAGGUGUAAUACCAGGGACUGAGGAAUACAGCAUGAGCAGGACAUGACUGUAUGUUUAAACAAAGGCCUUUUGGGGGCGCUCAUUAGCAGCUCGGUUUUCAUAUCUUUUAGGGCGUUGAGGAAGACGAGGUCUGAUUGCACAUGUUUGAUUUGGUGUUGUAUGUUAAGUGUCUUCACCUUCAAGCACUGAGAUUAACUUGAACUAAAUUCUUCAGAAUUUACAAGGAAAGAAAUAAGUGAGGAGAGAGAGAGAGAAAGAGAGAGAGAGAGAGAGAGAGAGAGAAUAAGCUAAGCAGAUUAUGAGUGACAGAGCAAAAGAGAGAGAGUGAGGGACAAAAUGACAGAACAGGCAAGGAACAGUAUGCAGGAGAGAAGGAAUGAGAGAAAAGAAAGAGAAUAAGCGAUUAAGAGAGAAUGAGAGGAAAGAGAAAAGAGAGGACAAGAUAGAGAAUGAGGGAGAGAAUAAUCUAAGGAAGCGUAUGGGGAGAGAGGGAGGAGAGAGAACAAGCAAGGGAGAAUGAAUGAGUGAAGGAGAGAAUAAGCAAUUGAGAGAGAAUGAGAGGAAAAUAAAGAGAGAAUAAGCAAGAAGAGUAUGAAGGAGAAAGCGAAAGAGAAAUUGUAACACGAGUAGUAAAGAGUGGAGGAGAGAAUAAGAGUGAGGACAGAAUACGAAAGAGAGAGAAAGAGGAGAAAUGAGGAAGGAAGAAGAAAAUGAGCAGUGCAAUAAGUGAAGGAGAUAAAAUGAGAGAAAA